CUGCUUGGUAGUGGGGGAUAACGUUCGGAAACGGACGCUAAUACCGCAUACUUCCUACGGGAGAAAGCACGGGACCUUCGGGCCUUGCGCUAUCGAUGAGCCUAGGUCGGAUUAGCUAGUUGGUGAGGUAAUGGCUCACCAGGCGACGAUCCGUAACUGGUCUGAGGGGAUGAUCAGUCACACUGGAACUGAGACACGGUCCAGACUCCUACGGGAGGCAGCAGGGGGGAAUAUUGGACAGUGGGCGAAAGCCUGAUCCAGCCAUGCCGCGUGGGUGAAGAAGGUCUUCGGAUUGAAAGCACUUUAAGUUGGGAGGAAGGGCAGUUACCUAAUACGUGAUUGUUUUGCCGUUACCGACAGAUUAAGCACCCGGCUAACUCUGUGCCAGCAGCCGCGGUAAUACAGA
rnacentral:rRNA from 1 species